rnacentral:misc_RNA from 1 species
AAAAAAUAUAAAAAAUAAAAUAGAUAUUGACAUGGAUUAAACAAAGAUAUAUAUUAUUCUAUGUUCGCAUAAACAAAUUCGGCAAAGUAGAGANGGAAGAUAAAAAUAUGGUCAAAGUAAUAAGAGUCUAUGGUGAAUGCCUAGGAGCUUUAAGGCGAAGAAGGUCGUGGUAAGCUGCGAAAAGCUUGGGGGAGAAGCAAACAUUUAUUGAUCCCAAGAUUACCGAAUGGAGUAAUCCAGCUAGCAAGAUGCUAGCUAUCUAUUAUUUAAUAAUAGAGGCGAUACCAGGGGAAGUGAACC